AUUGAACGCUGGCGGCAGGCCUAACACAUGCAAGUCGAACGGUAACAGGAAGAAGCUUGCUUCUUUGCUGACGAGUGGCGGACGGGUGAGUAAUGUCUGGGAAACUGCCUGAUGGAGGGGGAUAACUACUGGAAACGGUAGCUAAUACCGCAUAACGUCGCAAGACCAAAGAGGGGGACCUUCGGGCCUCUUGCCAUCGGAUGUGCCCAGAUGGGAUUAGCUAGUAGGUGGGGUAACGGCUCACCUAGGCGACGAUCCCUAGCUGGUCUGAGAGGAUGACCAGCCACACUGGAACUGAGACGCGGUCCAGACUCCUACGGGAGGCAGCAGUGGGGAAUAUUGCGCAAUGGGCGCAAGCCUGAUGCAGCCAUGCCGCGUGUAUGAAGAAGGCCUUCGGGUUUUAAAGUACUUUCAGCGGGGAGGAAGGGAGUAAAGUUAAUACCUUUACUCAUUGACGUUACCCGCAGAAGAAGCACCGGCUAACUCCGUG
rnacentral:rRNA from 1 species